rnacentral:rRNA from 1 species
GACUAACUAUAAGAGGUCCAGCCUGCCCAGUGAGAUACUUAAACGGCCGCGGUACCCUGACCGUGCAAAGGUAGCAUAAUCAUUUGUUCUUUAAAUAAGGACUCGUAUCAACGGCAUCACGAGGGUUAUACUGUCUCCCCUCUCUAAUCAGUGAAACUGACCUCCCCGUGAAGAGGCGGGGAUAAAAAUACAAGACGAGAAGACCCCAUGGAGCUUUAAACCCAAUAACAACCCCUUUUAAAAAUAACAUAAAAACUCUACGGUAAUGUUUAUUGGUUUUAGGUUGGGGUGACCACGGAGCAAAACACAACCUCCUUGACGAAUUGAUUUCAUCCUAAUCCAAGAGCCACUGCUCUAAGAAUCAAAAAUUUGACGUAAUAUGAUCCGGUAACCGAUCAACGAACCAAGUUACCCUGGGGAUAACAGCGCAAUCCAUUUCAAGAGCCCCUAUCGACAAAUGGGUUUACGACCUCGAUGUUGGAUCAGGGUAUCCCAGUGGUGCAGCCGCUACUAAAGGUUUGUUUGUUCAACAAUUAAAA